rnacentral:rRNA from 1 species
GAUGAACGCUGGCGGCGUGCUUAACACAUGCAAGUCGAACGAAGCACUUUAUUUGAUUUCCUUCGGGACUGAUUAUUUUGUGACUGAGUGGCGGACGGGUGAGUAACGCGUGGGUAACCUGCCUUGUACAGGGGGAUAACAGUUGGAAACGGCUGCUAAUACCGCAUAAGCGCACAGCAUCGCAUGAUGCAGUGUGAAAAACUCCGGUGGUAUAAGAUGGACCCGCGUUGGAUUAGCUAGUUGGUGAGGUAACGGCCCACCAAGGCGACGAUCCAUAGCCGACAUGAGAGGGUGCCCGGCCACAUUGGGACUGAGACACGGCCCAAACUCCUACGGGAGGCAGCAGUGGGGAAUAUUGCACAAUGGGCGAAAGCCUGAUGCAGCGACGCCGCGUGAGCGAAGAAGUAUUUCGGUAUGUAAAGCUCUAUCAGCAGGGAAGAUAAUGACGGUACCUGACUAAGAAGCACCGGCUAAAUACGUG